rnacentral:rRNA from 1 species
GACGAACGCUGGCGGCGUGCUUAACACAUGCAAGUCGAACGGAAAGGCCCUGCUUUUGUGGGGUUCUCGAUUGGCGAACGGGUGAGUAACACGUGAGUAACCUGCCCUUGACUUUGGGAUAACUUCAGGAAACUGGGGCUAAUACCGGAUAGGAGCUCCUGCUGCAUGGUGGGGGUUGGAAAGUUUCGGCGGUUGGGGAUGGACUCGAGGCUUAUCCGCUUGUUUGUGGGGUAGUGGCUUACCAAGGCUUUGACGGGUAGGCGGCAUGAGAGGGUGAACAGCCACAUGGGGCCUGAGAGACGGCCCAGACGCCUAUCGUAGGCAGUAGGGGGGAAUCUUGCGCAAUGGGCGGAAGUCUGUGGUGACAACGCCGCGUGCGGGAUGCCGGCCUUCGGGUUGUAAACCGCUUUCGAAGGUGACGAAGAGUGAGUGACGGUAAUGGGUCAAGAAGCACCGGCUAACUACGUG